rnacentral:rRNA from 1 species
CAUUAGCCGGGGCGAAGCCUGACCGCAAUGCCGCGUGCAGGAAGAAGGCCUUCGGGUUGUAAACUGCUUUUGUACGGAACGAAACGGCCUUUUCUAAUAAAGAGGGCUAAUGACGGUACCGUAAGAAUAAGCACCGGCUAACUACGUGCCAGCAGCCGCGGUAAUACGUAGGGUGCGAGCGUUAAUCGGAAUUACUGGGCGUAAAGCGUGCGCAGGCGGUUCUAUAAGACAGAUGUGAAAUCCCCGGGCUCAACCUGGGAAUGGCAUUUGUGACUGUAGAGCUAGAGUACGGUAGAGGGGGAUGGAAUUCCGCGUGUAGCAGUGAAAUGCGUAGAUAUGCGGAGGAACACCGAUGGCGAAGGCAAUCCCCUGGACCUGUACUGACGCUCAUGCACGAAAG